CCACAAUUUGGGAGGUUACCUCGGGAACUGAGGAUAAUGCCCUAUAGUUGAGAAGGCUUGGAAUAGUUUCUCAUCGAAAAGAGUGUAAUAAAUGGUUUGCAUUUCGCCAUAGGAUAGGACCGCGUUCGAUUAUGGUAGUUGGUGAGGUAACGGCUCACCAAGCCUAUAAUCGAUAAGGGCCAUGAGAGCGGUAGCCCUGAGAUGGGUACUGAGACAAGGACCCAGGCCCUACGGGGUGCAGCAGGCGCGAAACCUUCGCAAUGCGCGAAAGCGUGACGAGGCUACCCGGAGUGCUUCCUGAAGAAGGAAGCUGUUGUCAGUGUUUAACUAGCCUGACGAGUAAGGAGAGGGCAAGGCUGGUGCCAGCCGCCGCGGUAAAACCAGCUCUUCAAGUUGUCGGGACGAUUACUGGGCUUAAAGAGUCCGUAGCCGGUUUAGCAAGUCCUUGGUAAAAUCUGGCAGCUUAACUGUCAGUACGCUAGGGAAACUACUUUACUAGAGGGCGGGAAAGGUCUGGGGUACUUCAGGGGUAGGGGUGGAAUCCUAUAAUCCUUGGGGGACCACCAGUGGCGAAAGCGCCAGACUGGAACGCGCCUGACGGUGGGGGACGAAAGCCAGGGGAGCAAACCGGAUUAGAUACCCGGGUAGUCCUGGCCGUAAACGAUGCGUGCGAGGUGUUGGUAAGGCCACGAGCCGUAUCAGUGCCGUAGGGAAACCGAUAAGCACGCCGCCUGGGGAGUACGGUCGCAAGGCUGAAACUUAAAGGAAUUGGCGGGGGAGCAC
rnacentral:rRNA from 1 species